AGAGUUUCCUUCUGGCUCAGGACGAACGCUGGCGGCGUGCCUAACACAUGCAAGUCGAACGGGGUUAAGUGCUUCGGUAUUUAACUUAGUGGCGAACGGGUGAGUAACGCGUGAGAAACCUGCCUUUCAGUGGGGGACAACAGUUGGAAACGACUGCUAAUACCGCAUAAUGUAUUUUGGGGGCAUCCCUUUAAUACCAAAGAUUUAUUGCUGAAAGAUGGUCUCGCGUCUGAUUAGCUAGAUGGCGGGGUAACGGCCCACCAUGGCGACGAUCAGUAGCCGGUCUGAGAGGAUGAACGGCCACAUUGGGACUGAGAUACGGCCCAGACUCCUACGGGAGGCAGCAGUGGGGAAUAUUGGGCAAUGGGGGAAACCCUGACCCAGCAACGCCGCGUGAAGGAAGAAGGCUUUCGGGUUGUAAACUUCUUUUAGCAGGGACGAAAACUGACGGUACCUGCAGAAAAAGCAACGGCUAACUACGUGCCAGCAGCCGCGGUAAUACGUAGGUUGCAAGCGUUGUCCGGAUUUACUGGGUGUAAAGGGCGUGUAGGCGGAGAUGCAAGUUGGGAGUGAAAUCCCGGGGCUCAACCCCGGAACUGCUUUCAAAACUGUAUCCCUUGAGUGUCGGAGAGGCAAGCGGAAUUCCUAGUGUAGCGGUGAAAUGCGUAGAUAUUAGGAGGAACACCAGUGGCGAAGGCGGCUUGCUGGACGAUAACUGACGCUGAGGCGCGAAAGCGUGGGGAGCAAACAGGAUUAGAUACCCUGGUAGUCCACGCUGUAAACGAUGAAUAAUAGGUGUGGGAGGACUGACCCCCUCCGUGCCAGCAGUUAACACAAUAAGUAUUCCACCUGGGGAGUACGACCGCAAGGUUGAAACUCAAAGGAAUUGACGGGGGCCCGCACAAGCAGUGGAUUAUGUGGUUUAAUUCGACGCAACGCGAAGAACCUUCUCAGGUCUUGACAUUCAACUAACGAGAUAGAGAUAUGUCAGGUGCCCUUCGGGGAAAGUUGAGACAGGUGGUGCAUGGUUGUCGUCAGCUCGUGUCGUGAGAUGUUGGGUUAAGUCCCGCAACGAGCGCAACCCCUGCCAUUAGUUGCUACGCAAGAGCACUCUAAUGGGACCGCUACCGACAAGGUGGAGGAAGGUGGGGACGACGUCAAAUCAUCAUGCCCCUUAUGACCUGGGCUACACACGUAAUACAAUGGCCGUAAACAGAGGGAAGCGAAACCGCGAGGUGGAGCAAAUCCCCAAAAACGGUCCCAGUUCGGAUCGCAGGCUGCAACCCGCCUGCGUGAAGUUGGAAUUGCUAGUAAUCGCGGAUCAGCAUGCCGCGG
rnacentral:rRNA from 1 species